GGUGAAUGUGUUUUAACAGGUGGUGUCUAUUGAAAGUGAUGUUUUGUUUACCAUUUCAUGGAUAAUUAAAAUACUUUCAUGGAGAAUCAAAUAAAAAUAACCUGUGCCUGAAAAACUGAAGCUGGUUUUAGCUAUGUUGCCGAAGCUAAAGUAG